UACGAAGGGUGCAAGCGUUACUCGGAAUUACUGGGCGUAAAGCGUGCGUAGGUGGUUUGUUAAGUCCGUUGUGAAAUCCCUGGGCUCAACCCAGGAAUUGCUUCGGAUACUGGCGUGCUUGAGGCUAGUAGGGGUCACUGGAACUGACGGUGGAGCGGUGAAAUGCGUAGAUAUCGUCAGGAACGCCGAUGGUGAAGACAGGUGACUGGGCUAGUUCUGACACUGAGGCACGAAAGCGUGGGGAGCGAACGGG
rnacentral:rRNA from 1 species